rnacentral:rRNA from 1 species
ACGGGAGGCAGCAGUGGGGAAUAUUGCACAAUGGGCGCAAGCCUGAUGCAGCGAUGCCGCGUGAGGGAAGAAGGUUUUCGGAUUGUAAACCUCUGUCAACAGGGACGAAAAUGACGGUACCUGUGAAGGAAGCUCCGGCUAACUACGUGCCAGCAGCCGCGGUAAUACGUAGGGAGCAAGCGUUAUCCGGAAUUACUGGGUGUAAAGGGUGUGUAGGCGGGAAUGCAAGUCAGAUGUGAAAAUCAUGGGCUCAACCCAUGACCUGCGUCUGAAACUGUAUUUCUUGAGAGUGGGAGAGGUAAAUGGAAUUCCUGGUGUAGCGGUGAAAUGCGUAGAUAUCAGGAGGAACACCGGUGGCGAAGGCGAUUUACUGGACCACAACUGACGCUGAGACACGAAAGCGUGGGGAGCAAACAGGAUUAGAUACCCUGGUA